UAGCAUAAUCMUUAGUUUUUUAAUUGAGAACUGGAAUGAAAGGUUAAAUAAAAAAUAAUCUUUAUUAAUAUUAAAAUUUUUGAAUUUGUUUUUUUAGUAAAAAAACUAAAAUAAAUAAAAAAGACGAUAAGACCCUAUAAAGCUUUAUAAUACAAUAAUUUAAUAAUUUAUUAGAAUAUUUAAAUUAUUUUUUUUUUAUUAUUUGAUUGGGGUGAUUUAAAGAUUUAUAAAACUCUUUAUUUUUGUAAUAUUUCAUAUUUAAAUGUGUUUUGAUCCUUAAAAUUUUAAGAAUAUAAAAAUAAGUUACUUUAGGGAUAACAGCGUAAUUUUUUUGAAGAGUUCUAAUCGAUAAAAAAGAUUGCGACCUCGAUGUUGAAUUAAGAUAAAAAUUAGGUGCAGAAGUUUAAUUUUU
rnacentral:rRNA from 1 species